UACGUAGGUGCCCAGCGUUGUCCGGAUUUACUGGGCGUAAAGAGCGCGCAGGCGGUCGUUCAAGUCGAGUGUGAAAGCCCCCGGCUCAACUGGGGAGGGUCACUCGAUACUGAUCGACUUGAAGGCAGGAGAGGGAAGCGGAAUUCCCGGUGUAGUGGUGAAAUGCGUAGAUAUCGGGAGGAACACCAGUGGCGAAGGCGACUACCUGGCCUGUUCUUGACGCUGAGGCGCGAAAGCUAGGGGAGCAAACGGG
rnacentral:rRNA from 1 species